rnacentral:rRNA from 1 species
UACGUAGGGUGCAAGCGUUGUCCGGAAUUAUUGGGCGUAAAGAGCUCGUAGGCGGUCUGUCGCGUCGGCUGUGAAAUCCCGAGGCUCAACCUCGGGUCUGCAGUCGAUACGGGCAAACUGGAGCGUUGCAGGGGAGACUGGAAUUCCUGGUGUAGCGGUGAAAUGCGCAGAUAUCAGGAGGAACACCGGUGGCGAAGGCGGGUCUCUGGGCAACAACUGACGCUGAGGAGCGAAAGCGUGGGGAGCGAACAGG